UUUUGGAGAAAAUAGGAGAGCAAGCUUGGAAGAUCUAAGCAUUCUUACAGGAAGAGAGGUGAGAUGCAACCGAAGGUUAAGAGGAUCCAUUAGUUUGUAAUUUUCAGAGGCAAGCAGACUGAUGAAGAGAUCCAAUGCUGAGAAAUUUACAGCUAUGGAAGAUGAUGGAAUUGAAAGUUUUGUUGAGUUGAAUGAUGAUGCAGAUUUCGGAUCGAGGCAAAGCCCUUCUUCCUUUGUGCUUGACAAACAUGGAGUGACUCUUUCAUGCAAAUGUUCUGCAACAGAAGAUGGUGAAAAACUGAGUACAUGAAUGAGAAAAGGCAGAGAAUCAUAGUCAUGAGCCAGGCCACAGUGAAGAGCAACAUGUCCAGCUACAUGCUGAAAAUGGAUUGAGGGAGGUAAGUAGAUUAUGCGGUUAGUAUUACUUCAAAAUUACCAUAGAUAUUUUGCAUUUACUGAUAUGAAAUGCAUGGUUAUGUCAUUUAACAUUCUAACCAAUACCCAAUUCAUUUAAUUUCUGUUUCUAAUUAGUUGCUUCUUGGCAGCUUGGAUGCUCAAAUUAUUUAAAAUCUUUGCCCGAUGAGUUCCGAUCCUCCAGAUCUGUAACUUUCCACUGACACUCUGUGCAAGAUCCUUUUGGAGCUGUGAUAUUUAACUAUUUCCCAUUAUUGCCAUGGUUUUCUAGUCUUCUCAGUUCAAAGCAUCUUAGAUCUGUUCUUUAAUUUCUUUCUUUAUUGUAUUUUAUCAUUCUGUAUUUCAGGUUCAACAAGUUUUGGUUCCAAUGUUCAAUUAUAUGUUCAGCACUUAAUACGUCAGCUGGGAAGUGAGCCAUACAUUGGUCAAAGGACAAUGCUCUUAGUUUCCCAAAGAAUCUCUGUACUUGCAGACAGCUUGCUUAUUCUCUGUUUGAUGUUCCCAUAGAAAACAACAUGGUUUCCUUGGUUUGCCAUUAUGUAACAGAUGUUUGUAUGGAUGAAAGUGUUGUGUCAAGCGAUCCUGUUAUUUCUUUUCUUAGAUGAAGUGGUCGUGAAGGACUGGUGCAAGCAGACUUUCAGAAAUAUCAUAGCAGAUCUUUGUGGAAUUUGUAUCCUGAAAUAUAAAUAGCCUUACCUUUUGAAGCAUAGAGUUGCUAAUAUGAUCUUGUAAUUUUUAGAUAUGCUGGAGCCGUAGAUGCAUUUAUACACGACAUGUAUGUUGUCCCGGCAUGUGUG